rnacentral:rRNA from 1 species
UACGUAGGGGGCAAGCGUUGUUCGGAAUUACUGGGCGUAAAGGGCGCGUAGGCGGCACGGCAAGUCGGGAGUGAAAGGCCUGGGCUCAACCGAGGAACUGCUUUCGAGACUGCCGAGCUAGAGUGCGGAAGGGGCAACUGGAAUUCCCAGUGUAGCGGUGAAAUGCGUAGAUAUCGUAAGGAAGACCAGUGGCGAAGGCGGGUCUCUGGACAGGUCCUGACGCUGAGGCACGAAGGCCAGGGGAGCAAACGGG